rnacentral:rRNA from 1 species
AGAGUUUGAUCAUGGCUCAGAUUGAACGCUGGCGGAAUGCUUUACACAUGCAAGUCGAACGGCAGCACGGGGCAACCUGGUGGCGAGUGGCGAACGGGUGAGUAGUAUAUCGGAACGUGCCCAAUCGUGGGGAUAACGUAGCGAAAGUUACGCUAAUACCGCAUACGAUCUACGGAUGAAAGCGGGGGAUCGCAAGACCUCGCGCGAAUGGAGCGGCCGAUAUCAGAUUAGGUAGUUGGUGGGGUAAAGGCUCACCAAGCCAACGAUCUGUAGCUGGUCUGAGAGGACGACCAGCCACACUGGAACUGAGACACGGUCCAGACUCCUACGGGAGGCAGCAGUGGGGAAUUUUGGACAAUGGGCGCAAGCCUGAUCCAGCCAUUCCGCGUGCAGGAUGAAGGCCUUCGGGUUGUAAACUGCUUUGUACGGAACGAAACGGUCUGCCCUAAUACGGUGGGCUAAUGACGGUACCGUAAGAAUAAGCACCGGCUAACUACGUG